UACAGAGGUCCCAAGCGUUGUUCGGAUUCACUGGGCGUAAAGGGUGCGUAGGUGGCCAGGUAAGUUUGGUGUGAAAGCUCGGAGCUUAACUCCGAAAAGUCAUUGAAUACUAUCUGGCUGGAGGGUCGGAGGGGAGAAUGGAAUUCCCGGUGUAGCGGUGAAAUGCGCAGAUAUCGGGAGGAACACCGGUGGCGAAGGCGGUUCUCUGGGCCUUACCUGACGCUGAGGAGCGAAAGCGUGGGGAGCGAACAGG
rnacentral:rRNA from 1 species